rnacentral:SRP_RNA from 21 species
GGGCGGGAAGGAAGCAGGCGUCCACGACUGCAGUAGGUCCGUGGUC